GGGGCUGUCUCUUCACUCUCCCUCCAUUCAUGAAAUAUGCUGUGGUUGGGAUGCUUGUGAUCGGUUGCCUGUGCGGUUCUACCCUCUUGCGGGUAGCGAAGUCGUCCCUUGACGGAUAUAUUUGCUCGCCUUUCUGACAUAUUUUGUCGUUCGGGCAGCCGAAAUGUUGGCGAAAUCCUUGUGUCGGUGCGCGGUCGAAUGCUGUGUCGCCAUCACUUGGAUUUUUGCCGGCUCUCACGGAUGCGGUGCCUAUUGCUAGCUCUGCGGGACUSUGCCUCGCAGACUUCGGGAGGUCCYUGUACGAAUCAUUGCUCUUAUACGCCGUCUGUCGUGUUGCCGGUGGCGACACGCAGAUCGUGUUCUGUCGUGUUGUCGUUAACGACAUUCCAGAACAAAGUGUCCGGAGCGUGGUCGCGUGCAUGCGGACUGCCUCUCGUCGGUAGGAGCAGCGAUUUCCGGUCUGCGUCGCGCGAAGGCCCGGCUCUUCGGGCCGGUGCCGGAGGUGACGCGCCGGCUCUA
rnacentral:misc_RNA from 1 species